rnacentral:rRNA from 1 species
AUAUAUAGGUGGGUUGCAUGAAGAAUUAAGUUAAGAGAGUAAAUUGUUUUGUUGAGGGAAUAUGGAAGUUACAAUAAGUGUUUGAAAAAUCAGUAGGUUUUGUUGUUAAAGUAUUUUUUAUAAAAAUUGUGUGGUUAAACUAAAGUGAAUUAGUACUGUGAAGGAAAUUUGGUGGAUUUAAAGAAAGAAGAUUUUAAUUUUUGUACCUUUUGUAUCAGGGGCUUUUUAUUUGCUUUAAAAAGUUUUAUGUUUCCCGAAAUAAGGUGAUUUAAUUUGAUGAAAGUAUUUAUGUAGAAAAAUGAAACUUAACAAAUAAUUAGUGAUGAUAUGUCAGUCGUACUUUAUAUAUCUGGUUGUCUUCGAAAUAAAUUUAAUUUAGUUUUUGUAAAGUUAAAUGUUACAAAAUUAAAAAUUUGGGGGGAUGAGCUCUUAAAUGUUAAGAGAGUAGUAUAAAUACUAUUAAAUUAAAUUCUAAAUUAGGCUUAGAAUCAGCCAUAUUGACAUGCCGUUUUAGGGGAAGAUGAUAAUAAAGUGUUUUAUAUAGUUAGUUUUACUGGAAUUAGAGGAUUAGUUUUAGAAAUUGUUUUUAUUUCAAAAUAUUGAUUGUAUAAGUAGAAAUUUUAUGUAGUUAAAUUUAAUAAAUUAAUUAGAUUUUUAAGUUUUAAUUUGGGUUUUAUGUGGUUAAGGAACUCGACAAAUAUUAUGCUCACCUGUUUAUCAAAAACAUGUCUAUUUGUAAAAAAUUUUUAGUCUGGCCUGCCCACUGAGGUUAAUUAAAGGGCCGCGGUAUUUGGACCGUGCUAAGGUAGCAUAAUCAAUAGUCUCUUAAUUGGGGACUAGAAUGAACGGUCGGAUGAAGUGUAGUUUGUCUACGGCCAUAAAUUUUGAAUUUUACUUUUAAGUGAAAAGGCUUAAAUUAGGUAGAGGGACGAUAAGACCCUAUGAAGUUUUAUGCUGUCUAAAUUUGGUGUUUAAUAUUAAAGUGAUUAAUUUUGGAUUUUAGAGGUAUUGUGUUGGGGCGAUAGGAAUAUAUUUUUAACUGUUUUUAGGAGAAAAAUAAAUAAUUUUUAGAGUGUUGAUCCUGUAUUAUGGAUUAUAAGAUUAAAAUUACUCUAGGGAUAACAGCGUAAUUCUUUUUGAGAGUUCUUAUCGACAAAAGUAUUUGCGACCUCGAUGUUGAAUUAAGAUUUCACUAAGGUGUAGGAGCUUUAGUUGUGGGUCUGUUCGACCUUUAAAAUUUUACAUGAUUUGAGUUCAGACCGGCGUGAGCCAGGUUAGUUUCUAUCUUUUACUUGUUUGUUAAGCAUUCUAGUACGAAAGGAGUGAGUGGUUAAAAUAAUUUUUUUUAUUGGAUUGAGUUUAAUUACCUU